UAAAAUGAUGUUGUCCAUAUGAUUAAUAAACAUUCUUUUUUUUACCUGAACUAACCUUGCAUGCAUAGACUGAAAUAUGUAUCAGUCUGGUCAUAUGAACCUUUUUGCUUUCUUUAUUUUUUUUACAUUCACGUCCCGAAAAAACUGGUGGAACUCCACAAAUUUAAUCAAUUCUCAACUAAUAGGAUGAACUCCGAAUUUCUGUAAAUAUGAGUUACUCAAGGAGCUAUGAAAAUUAUCACUAAGUGAAACAAUAAUGUCAUUCUCGUACAAACUGAGCUGUUUGAUUCAUGCAACAGGUUGCACAUACUAUCACUUGCUAAGACUUACCAACAAAUAGAUGCCAGAGCAAAGGGCAGAUUUGAUGGUGUGGCCCCAGAACCACGGAAAGGGUAAUAAGUGGGCAUAUAACAGGAAGCAUCUGUGUUCCAUUCCCUGAGAUGUUCAAUGGUGCACCAAGCCUUCUGUCUGCAGAUGAGCUGCGGCAGAAGUUUCAGCAAGCAGGCAGGUCUCCAUUCUGUUGCAACUUGCAACUCAUUUUAAUAAUCAGAAACAAGUAAUUUGUUGUGUUCUUGGCAAGAACGAAAGCAAGAAUUUUUCCAAAGUACAAAUACGAGAAGCAGAGGAAGAAGAAGAAUACUGAUAAUUUAACAUUUCAGAUCUUUGAGAAAUUGAGUAUUUCUCACAGAUAUAUUAUACAUGUACAUAAAUUCUGAAAAGUUUGCCAAGCAAUAACAAUAUGGUGUGUUUGGUGUU